GCAGUCGUGGCCGAGUGGUUAAGGUGAUGAACUAGAAAUCCAUUGGCGUCUCCAAGCACAGGUUCAAAUCCUGUCGACUGCG
rfam:Ixodes scapularis strain Wikel colony gcontig_1108379563059, whole genome shotgun sequence.